rfam:Gossypium hirsutum cultivar TM-1 chromosome 22, whole genome shotgun sequence
AAUCCUGUGGUGAGGGCAUCUACGUAGUAGCUCCUUAAAUCUUUCUCAUACCUCAUAUAAGGACUCUUCAUCCAUUUGUUGAAAAGUGGUGAUCUCGUUCCGUAACU